rnacentral:rRNA from 1 species
CCGGAAUUAUUGGGCGUAAAGCGUUCGUAGGCGGUUUGUUAAGUCUGGAGUUAAAGACUGGGGCUCAACCCCAGCCCGCUCUGGAUACUGGCUGACUAGAGUUACAUAGAGGUAAGUGGAAUUCUUAGUGGAGCGGUGGAAUGCGUAGAUAUUAGGAAGAACACCAAUGGCGAAGGCAGCUUACUGGAUGUACACUGACGCUCAGGGACGAAAGCGUGGGGAGCAAACAGGAUUAGAUACCCUGGUAGUCCACGCCGUAAACGAUGAUCAUUAGCCGCUAGAAUAUUUAGUGGCGCAGCUAACGCRUUAAAUGAUCCGCCUGAGUAGUAUGCUCGCAAGAGUGAAACUUAAAGGAAUUGACGGGGACCCGCACAAGCGGUGGAGCAUGUGGUUUAAUUUGAAGAUACGCGUAGAACCUUACCCACUCUUGACAUCUUCCGCAAUACUAUGGAGACAUAGUGGAGGUUAACGGAAUGACAGAUGGUGCAUGGUUGUCGUCAGCUCGUGCCGUGAGGUGUUAGGUUAAGUCCUGCAACGAGCGCAACCCCUGUCUUUAGUUACUAACGGAUAAUGCCGAGGACUCUAGAGAGACUGACUGGGUAACCAGUAGGAAGGUGGGGACGACGUCAAAUCAUCAUGCCUCUUACGAGUGGGGCAACACACGUGCUACAAUGGACGGUACAAAGAGAAGCAAUAUGGUGACAUGGAGCAGACCUCAAAAAACCGUUCCCAGUUCGGAUUGAAGUCUGAAACUCGACUUCAUGAAGUUGGAAUCGCUAGUAAUCGUAGAUCAGCUACGCUACGGUGAAUACGUUCUCGGGUCUUGUACACACCGCCCGUC